AGAAUGAACGCUGGCGGCAUGCCUAACACAUGCAAGUCGAACGAGACCUUCGGGUCUAGUGGCGCACAGGUGCGUAACGCGUGGGAAUCUACCCCUUGGUUCGGAAUAACAGUUGGAAACGACUGCUAAUACCGGAUGAUGACGUAAGUCCAAAGAUUUAUCGCCGAGGGAUGAGCCCGCGUAGGAUUAGGUAGUUGGUGUGGUAAAGGCGCACCAAGCCGACGAUCCUUAGCUGGUCUGAGAGGAUGAUCAGCCACACUGGGACUGAGACACGGCCCAGACUCCUACGGGAGGCAGCAGUGGGGAAUAUUGGACAAUGGGCGAAAGCCUGAUCCAGCAAUGCCGCGUGAGUGAUGAAGGCCUUAGGUUGUAAAGCUCUUUUACCCGGGAUGAUAAUGACAGUACCGGGAGAAUAAGCUCCGGCUAACUCCGUGCCAGCAGCCGC
rnacentral:rRNA from 1 species